GAGCGGAGGAGGAGAAAGAAACUUCUCAAUUUACUCUUUUAAAAAGCAUCACUGGCUGGCACAGCAGGGGUUUGGCAUACACGGUGCCCCACUGAGGGGUGGUGUGGGCCCCACGGGUAGGUGUGUGAGAUGCCGGAGCCGGUGGACUGGCGACAGGGGAAGAGGGGGAUGAUGCUGUGACCCCUUCCACAUUCUCCAGACUGUCUUCUACCCGGCCGCGGUGCAACAGCAUGUAGAUGUACUCAGAAAGACGGACCACUUUACGGCCUCUUUCCAUCAGCUCCAGUUCUAUCAGGUCUGGGAUCAUAACAUCAUUCCCAAGGGUGCACUUCCUCCAUCCAGCCCCACGCCAAGGGCAGGAAUAGGUGAAAGACUUACACGCAAGAACACUUGAUGAAUAAUGCAUAAAAAUCAAAUGCUCUUUAGUGACUCACAGCCAACGGUCAGGAGCAGGCCAGCAGACGUGCAUUGAGAGGACUUUCAUCUGAACUCAACCAGAACUCUGAGUUAUCAUCAGAAGAAACUGCAAACUGAAAAUCUCCUGGACAAAUGAGAGUGACGGACAGUGUGAGCGACAG